rnacentral:rRNA from 1 species
GAAGGAUGCAAGCGUUAUCCGGAUUCACUGGGUUUAAAGGGUGUGCAGGUGGGGUAAUAAGUCAGUGGUGAAAGCCCCCGACUCAAUCGGGGAACUGCCAUAGAUACUGUUAUUCUUGAGUGUAGUUGAGGCGGAUGGAAUAUGACAUGUAGCGGUGAAAUGCUUAGAUAUGUCAUAGAACACCGAUCGCGAAGGCAGUCCGCCAAGCUAUUACUGACACUGAAACACGAAAGUGCGGGGAUCAAACAGGAUUAGAUACCCUGGUAGUCCGCACCGUAAACGAUGAUCACUCGUUGUCGGCGAUACACAGUCAGCGACUAAGCGAAAGCAUUAAGUGAUCCACCUGGGAAGUACGACCGCAAGGUUG